CAAGUGAGCAGUCAGCCCCUAAGGCUCCUGUGUGCCUGCUUGAAUUCUUAAGAGAAUGUUCUGUGUUGUUCCUCUAAGUUCCAGCUGGUCUGGAAGGACAGCAAGCUACAGGGGCAGAUCAUCCAUCUGUAAACCAGGGUUGUGAGCACAGCUGUGGCCAUGACCAUCAUUGCCAUGGCUCCCAGGUUCAGCAGUGAAGGAAUCCUCUGGCCCCCUGUGUCCUCCAGACCAGCUGUGGAGAUUGAAGAAGAUUCUGAAUCUAUCUCUGCCUCAAAUAUCACCUGUGCAAUUAUAAUUUCAUCAGGGAUCUUGGUC
rnacentral:sRNA from 1 species